CCUACGGGAGGCAGCAGUGAGGAAUAUUGGUCAAUGGCCGGAAGGCUGAACCAGCCAUGCCGCGUGAAGGUCAGUGCCCUAUGGGCGUUAAACUUCUUUUGUGCGGGAGCAAUAAUGGUCACGUGUGGCCAGACGAGAGUACCGUACGAAUAAGCAUCGGCUAACUCCGUGCCAGCAGCCGCGGUAAUACGGGGGAUGCAAGCGUUAUCCGGGUUUAUUGGGUUUAAAGGGUGCGUAGGCUGUGAGGUAAGUCAGCGGUGAAAUGCCCCCGCUCAACGGGGUGAAGUGCCAUUGAUACUGCCUGGCUGGAAUGCGGAUGCCGUGGGAGGAAUGUGUGGUGUAGCGGUGAAAUGCAUAGAUAUCACACAGAACACCGAUUGCGAAGGCAUCUCACGAAGCCGCGAUUGACGCUGAUGCACGAAAGCGUGGGUAUCAAACAGGAUUAGAUACCCCAGUAGUC
rnacentral:rRNA from 1 species